rnacentral:rRNA from 1 species
GCUUAACACAUGCAAGUCGAACGGUUGUAGAAUACAGCAGUGGCAGACGGGUGAAUAACACGUGGGAACCUUCCUCGUAGUACGGAACAACUCAGGGAAACUUGAGCUAAUACCGUAUACGUCCGAGAGGAGAAAGAUUUAUCGCUAUGAGACGGGCCCGCGUCCGAUUAGCUUGUUGGUGGGGUAACGGCCUACCAAGGCAACGAUCGGUAGCUGAUCUGAGAGGAUGAUCAGCCACACUGGGACUGAGACACGGCCCAGACUCCUACGGGAGGCAGCAGUGGGGAAUCUUGGACAAUGGGCGAAAGCCUGAUCCAGCCAUGCCGCGUGAGUGAAGAAGGCCUUAGGGUUGUAAAGCUCUUUUGGCAGGGACGAUAAUGACGGUACCUGCAGAAUAAGCCCCGGCAAACUUCGCGCCAGCCCGCCGCGGUAAUAC